rnacentral:rRNA from 1 species
GAUGAACGCUGACAGAAUGCUUAACACAUGCAAGUCUACCAAGAAUAACUUCGGUGAGGAAUGGUGGCGGACGGGUGAGUAACGCGUAAAUAAUCUGCCCUUUAGACUGGGAUAUCCUUUGGAAACGAAGGUCAAUACCGGAUAUUAUGAGCUGGACGCAUGUUCAACUUCUGAAAGCUAAAUGCACUAGAGGAGGAGUUUGCGUCCAAUUAGCUAGUUGGUGAGGUAAAGGCUCACCAAGGCCACGAUGGGUAGCCGGCCUGAGAGGGUGAACGGCCACAAGGGAACUGAGACACGGUCCUUACUGCUACGGGAGGCAGCAGUGGGGAAUAUUGGACAAUGGACCAAAAGUCUGAUCCAGCAAUUCUGUGCGCACGAUGAAGGUCUUCGGAUUGUAAAGUGCUUUCAGUAGGGAAGAAAAAAGUGACGGUACCUCCAGAAGAAGCGACGGCUAAAUAUGUGCCAGCCGCCGCCGUAAGAC